GACGAACGCUGGCGGCGUGCUUAACACAUGCAAGUCGAACGGAAAGGCCCUGCUUUUGUGGGGUGCUCGAGUGGCGAACGGGUGAGUAACACGUGAGUAACCUGCCCUUGACUUUGGGAUACCUUCAGGAAACUGGGGCUAAUACCGGAUAGGAGCUCCUGCUGCAUGGUGGGGGUUGGAAAGUUUCGGCGGUUGGGGAUGGACUCGCGGCUUAUCAGCUUGUUGGUGGGGUAGUGGCUUACCAAGGCUUUGACGGGUAGCCGGCCUGAGAGGGUGACCGGCCACAUUGGGACUGAGAUACGGCCCAGACUCCUACGGGAGGCAGCAGUGGGGAAUAUUGCACAAUGGGCGGAAGCCUGAUGCAGCAACGCCGCGUGCGGGAUGACGGCCUUCGGGUUGUAAACCGCUUUCGCCUGUGACGAAUCGUGAGUGACGGUAAUGGGUAAAGAAGCACCGGCUAACUACGUGCCAGCAGCCGCGGUGAUACGUAGGGUGCGAGCGUUGUCCGGAUUUAUUGGGCGUAAAGGGCUCGUAGGUGGUUGAUCGCGUCGGAAGUGUAAUCUUGGGGCUUAACCCUGAGCGUGCUUUCGAUACGGGUUGACUUGAGGAAUUUAGGGGAGAAUGGAAUUCCUGGUGGAGCGGUGGAAUGCGCAGAUAUCAGGAGGAACACCAGUGGCGAAGGCGGUUCUCUGGGCCUUUCCUGACGCUGAGGAGCGAAAGCGUGGGGAGCGAACAGGCUUAGAUACCCUGGUAGUCCACGCUGUAAACGGUGGGUACUAGGUGUGGGGUCCAUUCCACGGAUUCCGUGCCGUAGCUAACGCUUUAAGUACCCCGCCUGGGGAGUACGGCCGCAAGGCUAAAACUCAAAGGAAUUGACGGGGCCCCGCACAAGCGGCGGAGCAUGCGGAUUAAUUCGAUGCAACGCGUAGAACCUUACCUGGGUUUGACAUGGAUCGGGAGUGCUCAGAGAUGGGUGUGCCUCUUUUGGGGUCGGUUCACAGGUGGUGCAUGGCUGUCGUCAGCUCGUGUCGUGAGAUGUUGGGUUAAGUCCCGCAACGAGCGCAACCCUUGUUCACUGUUGCCAGCACGUUAUGGUGGGGACUCAGUGGAGACCGCCGGGGUCAACUCGGAGGAAGGUGGGGAUGACGUCAAGUCAUCAUGCCCCUUAUGUCCAGGGCUUCACGCAUGCUACAAUGGCUGGUACAGAGAGUGGCGAGCCUGUGAGGGUGAGCGAAUCUCGGAAAGCCGGUCUCAGUUCGGAUUGGGGUCUGCAACUCGACCUCAUGAAGUCGGAGUCGCUAGUAAUCGCAGAUCAGCAACGCUGCGGUGAAUACGUUCCCGGG
rnacentral:rRNA from 1 species